rnacentral:rRNA from 1 species
UACAGAGGUCUCAAGCGUUGUUCGGAUUCAUUGGGCGUAAAGGGUGCGUAGGCGGCGCGGUAAGUCGGAUGUGAAAUCUCGGGGCUUAACUCCGAAACUGCAUUCGAUACUGCCGUGCUUGAGGACUGGAGAGGAGACUGGAAUUUACGGUGUAGCGGUGAAAUGCGUAGAUAUCGUAAGGAAGACCAGUGGCGAAGGCGGGCUACUGGGCCGGAUACUGACGCUGAUGCGCGAAAGCCAGGGGAGCGAACGGG